UACGUAGGGGGCAAGCGUUGUCCGGAUUUAUUGGGCGUAAAGAGCGUGUAGGCGGCCAGGUAGGUCCGCUGUGAAAACUCGAGGCUCAACCUCGAGAUGUCGGCGGAAACCAUCUGGCUAGAGUCCGGAAGAGGAGAGUGGAAUUCCUGGUGUAGCGGUGAAAUGCGCAGAUAUCGGGAGGAACACCUAUGGCGAAGGCAGCUCGCUGGGACGUUACUGACGCUGAGACGCGAAAGCGUGGGGAGCAAACAGG
rnacentral:rRNA from 1 species